CUAAUGUAUUGAAGGCCCUGGUGCCAUACUUUUUUUGGGCAACCCGCUCAUACAAGAGUGGCAAAAAGGUAGAUCCCCAUCUGUUGCACAACUACUAGAAUGCUACGCCAGCUGUGGAUCUACCAUUUACCCAUCUUUGCGGGACUGUAUUUGUGAGCAGUGUUAGUGUGUUUGAAUUUAAGUAUGUUUUUGUAUAGAGUAUGUGUGUGGAUGUGUAUUUGUAUGUACUGAUGCCAUUGGAAUGCAGUGUUGUACAUGUGAGUAGUGUUUGCAUUUGAAUGCAGAGGUGUGUUUGUACGUAGUGUUUGCUUUAAAAUUUAGGUGUGCUUUUGUGUGUAGUGUUAGUGUUUGAAUGAAGGGGUGUUUGUAUAUAAUUUUACAGUUUUAAUACAGGGGGGUGUGUUCAUCUAAAGUUUGCAUUUUAGUUUAGCAGUGUGUUUGUGUCAGGAUCCAAAAAUUGAAAUUCUGAACUUUAUUAAUUUUUCUUAAAUUGGUUCCUGCAGUGACGAAUAUUUGCCUCUAGUGGCCUCCCUCACAAUUUUUUUUUUACCAGUAUCCUAUUAUUUCAAU